rnacentral:tRNA from 1 species
GCGGGAUUCGUAUAGUGGUAGUACGUAACCUUCCCAAGGUUGAAGCGCCGGUUCAAUUCCGGUAUCCCGCU